ACGCUGGCGGCGUGCCUAAUACAUGCAAGUAGAACGCUGAAGCUUGGUGCUUGCACCGAGCGGAUGAGUUGCGAACGGGUGAGUAACGCGUAGGUAACCUGCCUCUUAGCGGGGGAUAACUAUUGGAAACGAUAGCUAAUACCGCAUAAAAGUCGAUAUCGCAUGAUAUUGAUUUGAAAGGUGCAAUUGCAUCACUAAGAGAUGGACCUGCGUUGUAUUAGCUAGUUGGUGAGGUAACGGCUCACCAAGGCGACGAUACAUAGCCGACCUGAGAGGGUGAUCGGCCACACUGGGACUGAGACACGGCCCAGACUCCUACGGGAGGCAGCAGUAGGGAAUCUUCGGCAAUGGGGGCAACCCUGACCGAGCAACGCCGCGUGAGUGAAGAAGGUUUUCGGAUCGUAAAGCUCUGUUGUAAGAGAAGAACGAGUGUGAGAGUGGAAAGUUCACACUGUGACGGUAACUUACCAGAAAGGGACGGCUAACUACGUGCCAGCAGCCGCGGUAAUACGUAGGUCCCGAGCGUUAUCCGGAUUUAUUGGGCGUAAAGCGAGCGCAGGCGGUUAGAUAAGUCUGAAGUUAAAGGCUGUGGCUUAACCAUAGUACGCUUUGGAAACUGUUUAACUUGAGUGCAGAAGGGGAGAGUGGAAUUCCAUGUGUAGCGGUGAAAUGCGUAGAUAUAUGGAGGAACACCGGUGGCGAAAGCGGCUCUCUGGUCUGUAACUGACGCUGAGGCUCGAAAGCGUGGGGAGCAAACAGGAUUAGAUAUCCUGGUAGUCCACGCCGUAAACGAUGAGUGCUAGGUGUUGGGUCCUUUCCGGGACUCAGCGCCGCAGCUAACGCAUUAAGCACUCCGCCUGGGGAGUACGACCGCAAGGUUGAAACUCAAAGGAAUUGACGGGGGCCCGCACAAGCGGUGG
rnacentral:rRNA from 1 species